rnacentral:rRNA from 1 species
UGGUGUGAAUUGCAGAAUCCCGUGAACCAUCGAGUCUUUGAACGCAAGUUGCGCCCGAAGCCAUUAGGCCGAGGGCACGUCUGGCUGGGUGUCACAC